rnacentral:rRNA from 1 species
UGGAGCUUGCGGUUUAAUUGGAUUCAACGCCGGAAAUCUUACCGGGACCGACAGCAAUAUGAAGGCCAGGCUGAAGACUUUGCCGGAUUAGCUGAGAGGUGGUGCAUGGCCGUCGUCAGUUCGUACUGUGAAGCAUCCUGUUAAGUCAGGCAACGAGCGAGACCCACGCCCACAGUUGCCAGCGUACUCGUCUGGAGUGACGGGUACACGUGUGGGGACCGCCGCUGCUAAAGCGGAGGAAGGAAUGGGCAACGGUAGGUCAGUAUGCCCCCGAAUAUCCCGGGCUACACGCGAGCUACAAUGGUUGGUACAAUGGGUAUCUACCCCGAAAGGGGACGGGAAUCUCCUAAAACCAAUCUUAGUUCGGAUUGAGGGCUGCAACUCGCCCUCAUGAAGCUGGAAUCCGUAGUAAUCGCGUUUCAACAGAACGCGGUGAAUACGUCCCUGCUCCUU